rnacentral:rRNA from 1 species
GUCCACGCUGUAAACGAUGAGUGCUAGAUGUCGGGUCCAUUAGGGCUCGGUGCCGUAGCUAACGCGUUAAGCACUCCGCCUGGGGAGUACGGUCGCAAGAUUAAAACUCAAAGGAAUUGACGGGGACCCGCACAAGCGGUGGAGCAUGUGGUUUAAUUCGAGGCAACGCGAAGAACCUUACCAGCUCUUGACAUGUCCAGUAUGGUCGGCAGAGAUGCCUUCCUUCACCUCGGGUGGCUGGAACACAGAUGCUGCAUGGCUGUCGU